rnacentral:rRNA from 1 species
UUUCGAAUCAUUCACAAUGGGCGAAAGCCUGAUGGUGCGACGCCGCGUGAGGGACGAAGGCCUUCGGGUCGUAAACCUCUGUCACCGGGGAAGAAACGCUGCAUAUUAAUCGUAUGCAGCCUGACUUAACCCGGAGAGGAAGCAGUGGCUAGCUCUGUGCCAGCAGCCGCGGUAAUACAGAGACUGCAAGCGGUAUUCGGAUUCACUGGGCGUAAAGGGUGCGCAGGUGGUCGUGUGUGUCAGAUGUGAAAUCCCGGAGCUUAACUCCGGAACUGCGUCUGAAACUGCACGACUAGAGCAUUGGAGAGGGUAGUGGAAUUCACGGUGUAGCAGUGAAAUGCGUAGAUAUCGUGAGGAGCACCAGAGGCGAAGGCGACUACCUGGACAAUUGCUGACACUCAGGCACGAAAGCAUGGGGAGCAAAAG